rnacentral:sRNA from 1 species
AAAAUUCCCGCUAAAUAAAAAUUUUGAAAACAUUUUUCCCGUAAAUUUUUUUUUUUUUGCGGGAAAUAGAUUUACAAGGGAUUUUUAAAGGGUUUUAAAAUUUUUUAAAAGAUUUACAAGAGAUUUUAAAAGGGUUUAAAAGAUUUACAAGAGAUUUUAAAAGGGUUUAAAAGAUUUACAAGAGAUUUUAAAAGAGUUUUACAAGAUUUACAAGGGAUUUUAAAGGGGUUUAAAAGACUUACAAGAGUUUUUUAAAGAUUUUUAAAGGGUUUAAAAGUGUUUUAAAAUAUUUAUAAGAUUUAUAAGGGAUUUUUAAAGGGUUUUAAAAGAUGUACAAGAGUUCUUAAAAGAUUUUAAAAGAAUUUAUAAGAAAACCCUUUAAAAACUUUGGUAAAUCUUUUUAAAACCUUUUGUAAAGGUUCACAAGAGUUUUAAAAUGGUUCAAAUAAAGUUGUAAAUGUUUUAAAUACUUACAAUUCUCUUUCUAAGAGUUAAAAAAUGCUUGUAAAAACUUUAUAAGAGUUUUAAAAGCAUUUACAAAGGUUUAAAAUCCUUGUAAAUCAUUUUAAAACACUUUAAAAACUCUUGUAAAUCAUGUUUUACCUUUUUAUAAGCUUUUAAAAUCCUUGUAAUCAUUCUAUACCACUUACUUAUCCUUUAAAAACGAUUGUAAACCAUGCAAACCCUUUUUAAAAUCCCUUGUAAAUCAUUCUUUGAUACUUACUUAUGCUUUGAAAACGAUUGUAAAUCAUGUUAACCCCUUUUUAAAUCCCUUGUAAAUUAUUCAAUGCCACUUACUUAUGCUUUAAAACGAUUGUAAACCAUACAAACACUUUUAAAAUCCCUUGUAAAUUAUUCUAUGUCACUUACUUAUGCUUUAAAAACGAUUGUAAAUCAUGUUUUACCCUUUUAUAAGCUUUUAAAAUCCCUUGUAAAUCAUUCCAAUGCCACUUACUUAUGCUUAAAAAACAUUGUAAACCAUGCUAACCCUUUUUAAAAAUCCUUGUAAAUCAUUCUAUGCCACUUACCUAUGCUUUAAAAACGAUUGUAAAUCAUGUUUUACCCUUUUAUAAGCUUUUAAAAUCUCUUGUAAAUCAUUCAAUGCCACUUACUUAUGCUUAAAAAACGAUUGUAAACCAUGCUAACCCUUUUUAAAUCCCUUGUAAAUCAUUCUAUGCCACUUACUUAUGCUUUAAAACGAUUGUAAAUCAUGUUUC